AGAGUUUGAUCAUGGCUCAGGACGAACGCUGGCGGCGCGCUUAACACAUGCAAGUCGAGCGAGAACCCAGGCUUCGGCCUGGGGGAAAGCGGCGAACGGGUGAGUAACACGUGAGUAAUCUGCCCUCGACAUCGGGAUAGCCCGGGGAAACCCGGAUUAAUACCGAAUGGCCCAUCAGCUUUUCGAAGCGGAUGGAAAAGGUAGCUUCGGCCUCCGGUCGAGGAGGAGCUCGCGGCGGAUUAGCUUGUUGGUGAGGUAACGGCUCACCAAGGCUCCGAUCCGUAGCUGGUCUGUGAGGAUGACCAGCCAGACUGGGACUGAGACACGGCCCAGACUCCUACGGGAGGCAGCAGUGGGGAAUCUUGCACAAUGGGGGCAACCCUGAUGCAGCGACGCCGCGUGAGCGAUGAAGCCCUUCGGGGUGUAAAGCUCUUUCGUCAGGGAAGAUCAUGACGGUACCUGGAGAAGCAGCUGCGGCUAACUACGUGCCAGCCGCCGCGGUAAUAC
rnacentral:rRNA from 1 species